AAACUUCGCAUAGAAAAUACCAUCUGCAUCCAGAAAGAACUACAGAGAUUGAAUGGAUAUGAUUUUCCUUUGAGUACUGCUUUAGUUACAUCCCAGAAAUUUCGAUACUGUAUUUCGAGCAUAGAAGUUUAAUACUGAUAUUGGUUUGUUGUUGAUUCCUACCAUCAUCAGGUGGAUGGAUCUGAAUCUUGUAGGAAGUCAGGACAUCCAGGAGGUGGAAGUAAGGAGGGAGAACAUUCCAGCCACCUGGGAACACCAGUGAAAAUGGCCACAGUUGGAAGAUACGGAGCAUUCUGGAUGAAGGACUGCAACACUGGAUUGUCAGGUAUCCGGGAUCAGAGGAACAGGACCGGCACCACCAGCUUAACCACCUCAAUGUGACUCCCCAAGAAAAGGUAAAGUCAUCCCUGGAUGUGUGACCUGGUCAGACAUGCACUUUAAGAAGAUCACUUUGGAAGCUGAAUAGAGGAUGUAAGAGUGGGAAAAGACUUGAAACCAGGGAAUGAUCAAGAAAGGCUAGCUACAAUCCAAGUUGUGAGGUGGUUAGGAGCUGCAUCAGGGCAACAUCUGUUUGGGCAGAGAGAAGGGGACAUAUCUGAAAGAUAUUUUGGAGGUAGAAAAGAUAGGGCUGGCAACAGAUUGGCUAUGGGGGUGGCAGGGGCUUGUGGGUAACACCAAAGUUGUGAGCUUGAGGUAUUGGGAGGAUGGUGAUGUCUGUGACAAUAAAGAGGAUCUUGGGAAAGGGGGAGCAACAAGAUGACUUGAGUUUUGAAUAUAUCUGUUUGAUAACCCCAUUUGAAAUGUUCAAUAGGCAUUUGAUGAUGCAAGAUUGGAGGUCAGGGGAGAAGUUAGGAUUGGAAAAUAGAUCAGAGGAUAAUUUGCAUAAAGAUAAUCGAAUGCAUAGAACUUGCUGUGAUCACCCAAUGAGACAGUAUGGGAAAGAAGAGAAUGUGAAUGGCUUUGAUCUUUUCAAAGAGGUAGGGGCAAAGGAUCUUGAGGAUAAAUGAAAAGGUUUGGAAAAGUCACCAUGAUGAGCGGGAUAGUAAAUCCAUUAAGAUUGUGUAAAAGGAUUGCUUUACAACAGUGAGGGCCUGGUUGAGAUUAUGUAACAAUUUUUAGUGCACAAAUCAGAGUAGUUUCAUGAUUUUCUCCAGUGUCUUUGAGAAGCUUAUGAAUGGGACUAAAGACAGUGGAUUGUGUGAGUGAUCCAAAGGUGACAGGGCAAAUUCAGCAAUAGAAUGAAGGGCACAAGGUACUAGAGAGAAGAGGACAGUGUAGACUUAAACUGGUCUACCGAGGGAUCAAGAUUGGAGAGGUAGGAGAGAAUAGCAAUCAUUCUGGCAACUGUGAGUGGACCAUUUGAGACAGUGAGAUAAAUUAGAAAGCUGUUACAAUAAUUUAGUCAAAAGGUUUUGGGGCCUUUACAAAGAUGAUGGCUGAGUUGGUGAGGAAGAGAUUAUUAAUUAGAUUUUGUGGAAAGUAAAUAGGACAAGACUUAAAAAAAAACAUUGUUCAAGCACAAAGCCAAGAAAGAUAAUGAUGUCAGGGGGCUGGAUUACCGAGAGGGUAUUAGUACCAUAAAUGGUGAUGGGAAAGUUGGUAAGAAGAGAUGAUUUUUAGGAGAAAAAGAAUGAGGUCUGUUUUGAACAUGUGAAGUCUGAGAUGCUUUACAGGACAAAGAAAACUGGAGUUCCAGAAGGAAAUUAUAGCCAGCUAAAUAAACCUGAGAAUCAUCUGUAUAGUGAAAAUAGUUGAACCACUGGAGACUGGAAUCAAAAAGUGAGUAGUAUAGAUGGUAAAGAGAUGAGAAACCCACAAGAGAUGCUUGGGGGAUACUAAGUUAGUGGUAUGACGUUUUUGAAGAUGCAGCAAAGGAAAUGGAGAAGGAACCUUUCCGAUAGAUGGGAAGAGAACCAGGAGUGAACAAUGGCAUGAAAAUUCUGAGAGGUUGAUGGUAUUCAGAAAAAUUACCCCAAUUCUCAAAGAUAGUCCUGAAGUGUGGAGAAAAUGUCUAAGAAUUCUAGACUUUCAAGCCUCCAAAGUGAAGCAUGGGGCUUGUGUAUUCUUGAACUCUAAGACUCUGAGUUGAAGCCUCACUUCCCUUCUAAUCUUGGCUGCAUUGGUUUUAUCUGUACAACAUUUUAAAAAUUUAAUAGAAUCAAAAUGAUCCAUUUUACAUUUCAUAAUGUUCUCCUAGUUCUUUUUUGGCCAUAAAUCCCUUCCUUCCCCACAGAUCUGAGGUAGACUAUCCAUUUUGGCCUCCAGGUCUCCAGAGCCUCAUGUCUAAAUGUCAUGAGGCUUCUAUAAAUUUUGGGAUUUCAGAAGACUUCAAGACUUUAGGCCUAAGUCUUGAAGUUUUUAAUCCUCUAGAAUUCUUAGAUUCGAUGUUUCUAUGUUUCUAGUGUUUCAGGCUUUCCCACAUAGGUCUCAAGGGUGCUAGUCUUGUAGGCCUUCAGGUUUCCCAGGUAUCCAAGUGUAAAUCUCCAUCAUGAGCUUCUAUGUCUUGAAAUCUUUUGAACUUUAAGUCUAUGUCCAUCAGUUAACCAAUAAGCUUUUGUUCAAUUCAUUCUGUAUGACAAACUCUGCUAGGUGCCAGGGAAACAAGAGCUGAUCAAUUGGAAAAGAGAACAGGUAAUUUUGUCAAUUUAUACAUACAGGACAUGGAGACAUAGGACAAAGACAGUAGGCAAUGCAAAUAUAGGUAAAAAGAAAAAUGAGAAGGUAUCUGUUUAGGAGAAUGGGAGAACAGUAUGGAGACUCCAGAAUAAGACUGGGAGGAGUGUAAGAGUAAAUAUGACUAGCCUUGACACUUCUUUAAAAUGGAGGUUCUAGAAGGAGCUCACCAAUUGGAGCAAAGUAGAGAUGAGAAGGCAGCAGGAGUAGAAGCAUUUUCAAGGGUAAAAAGGCCCCUGGGGCAUGAUGGGGAAAAUCUGGAGAAUAAGGAGUGGAGCUAAAAAGGGGGAGAAGAACAGGAAAGAGAAACUUAGAGAAAUAGGAGUACAUGGAUGGAGAUACUAGGACAGGAAGGAGGAGCAUAUAGGGACAUUGAUAAAUGAGGAACAACCAGCUGGGAAGAUUUAAACAAAAAGCAAAACCAACAGCAUAGGUAGGUGGAAAGACACUUGGGGGGGGAACCCAUAUAGACUGAGGAAUAUAUAGAAAUUGAAGAUCUACGCUUAGGAAAGCAUGAAGGAGAAAGUUACACAGCUGGAGGUACUACUUGUAGGUAGCUUCAGGGCCCCGUGGAUAGUUAGAGGACAAGACAGGCAAUAUAUGGGGAGAUACCAAAUAUGUAUAUGGGAAUACAUAAAUCAGACAGUCAAAAGACAUACCAGGACACAAUGGCAGAAAAGACAGAUAUGGACACAGAAUAAUAUAGGGAGUAAUUAUAGUUAGGGGAAGCACAUGGAUAUGGGAAAAUACACAUGAGGGGCAGGUACAUAGUUGUGGCUAUCUGUGGAAAACCUAAGGACCCCAUGAAUCACCAAGAGGUGAACAUGCAGCCAAAGGAAAAUAUAUAGAGGACACAAAAUAUGAGGGCCACAUCACUUAGUGUCAGGCAAUUUCCCACCCUUCUCUCACUUCUUACAUGUAAAGAGGGAAAUGGAAAUAAGGAGAGAAAAAGGUACAUGACGGGAGGAAGAAAAGAAAUAUAUAACAUUUAUAGCCAUGAAUGUGAGUGAGAUGAACUCCUUCUAUAAAAUGAAGAAGAGAAUAAAUUAGAAAAUAAAAUACCCAACAAUGUUUAAAAUAAAAAACCUGAAAUACCAAGAUUCACAGAUAGUUGAAAUGAAAGGCUUGAGCAAGAUCUAUUUUGCUUCAACUGAAUUAAAAACAAAGAUAGUGGUGAAAAAUUG